AGUUUGAUCAUGGCUCAGGAUGAACGCUGGCGGCGUGCCUAAUACAUGCAAGUCGAGCGAACAGACGAGGAGCUUGCUCCUCUAACGUUAGCGGCGGACGGGUGAGUAACACGUGGAUAACCUACCUAUAAGACUGGGAUAACUUCGGGAAACCGGAGCUAAUACCGGAUAAUAUAUUGAACCGCAUGGUUCAAUAGUGAAAGACGGUUUUGCUGUCACUUAUAGAUGGAUCCGCGCCGCAUUAGCUAGUUGGUAAGGUAACAGCUUACCAAGGCAACGAUGCGUAGCCGACCUGAGAGGGUGAUCGGCCACACUGGAACUGAGACACGGUCCAGACUCCUACGGGAGGCAGCAGUAGGGAAUCUUCCGCAAUGGGCGAAAGCCUGACGGAGCAACGCCGCGUGAGUGAUGAAGGUCUUCGGAUCGUAAAACUCUGUUAUUAGGGAAGAACAAAUGUGUAAGUAACUAUGCACGUCUUGACGGUACCUAAUCAGAAAGCCACGGCUAACUACGUGCCAGCAGCCGCGGUAAUACGUAGGUGGCAAGCGUUAUCCGGAAUUAUUGGGCGUAAAGCGCGCGUAGGCGGUUUUUUAAGUCUGAUGUGAAAGCCCACGGCUCAACCGUGGAGGGUCAUUGGAAACUGGAAAACUUGAGUGCAGAAGAGGAAAGUGGAAUUCCAUGUGUAGCGGUGAAAUGCGCAGAGAUAUGGAGGAACACCAGUGGCGAAGGCGACUUUCUGGUCUGUAACUGACGCUGAUGUGCGAAAGCGUGGGGAUCAAACAGGAUUAGAUACCCUGGUAGUCCA
rnacentral:rRNA from 1 species